rnacentral:rRNA from 1 species
UACAGGGGGUGCAAACGUUGCUCGGAAUCAUUGGGCGUAAAGCGCACGUAGGCGGUUCGUUAUGUCGGAUGUGAAAGCCCUUGGCUUAACCGAGGAAGUGCAUCCGAAACUGGCGAGCUAGAGUACGAAAGAGGAUCGCGGAAUUCCCGGUGUAGAGGUGAAAUGCGUAGAUAUCGGGAGGAACACCUGUGGCGAAAGCGGCUCACUGGACCACAACUGACGCUGAGGCGCGAAAGCUAGGGGAGCAAACAGG